AUUGAACGCUGGCGGCAUGCCUUACACAUGCAAGUCGAACGGCAGCGGACCUUCGGGUGCCGGCGAGUGGCGAACGGGUGAGUAAUAUAUCGGAACGUACCUUUCAGUGGGGGAUAACGUAGCGAAAGUUACGCUAAUACCGCAUAUUCUGUGAGCAGGAAAGCAGGGGAUCGCAAGACCUUGCGCUGAUUGAGCGGCCGAUAUCAGAUUAGCUAGUUGUGAGGUAAAGGCUCACCAAGGCGACGAUCUGUAGCGGGUCUGAGAGGAUGAUCCGCCACACUGGAACUGAGACACGGUCCAGACUCCUACGGAGGCAGCAGUGGGGAAUUUUGGACAAUGGGCGCAAGCCUGAUCCAGCCAUGCCGCGUGAGUGAGAAGCCUGUGUAGA
rnacentral:rRNA from 1 species